UAAAUCCUGAGUAAUUGCGGUCGUAUUAUUACGGCUGAGGAAAGUCCAUUCUCGCACAGGCUGCGAUGCCUGUAGUGUUCGUGCUCGGUGAAAAAAUAAGCCGGGGGACUCUUUUAGAGUUACGGCGGAAUAAGUGGCUAAGGCUUUGCUAUGCUGAUUAUUCCCUAAGGUGCCACAGUGACGAACAGUAUGGGAAACCAUGCUGAUGGAACGCGGUAAACCCCUCGAGCGGGAAACCCAAACUUUGGUAGGGGAGCUUCACACACGGUAAAUGAACCAAGUGUGGGGGAGAAGUACAUGGUACUUCUCAGAUAGAUGAUUACUACUUACUUUACCGUCCUGGGAUAAAGUAAGCACAAAACAUGGCUUAUAGGGAUU
rnacentral:RNase_P_RNA from 1 species